UUCUUUCCUAGCUAACUGUACCAUCACUGC
rnacentral:piRNA from 1 species